rnacentral:snRNA from 1 species
AUACUUACCUGGGCAGUGGGGAGAUACCACGAUCACGAAGGUGGUUUUCCCAGGGCGAGGCUUAUCCAUUGCACUCCGGAUGUGCUGACCCCUGCGAUUUCCCCAAAUGUGGGAAACUCGACUGCAUAAUUUGUGGUAGUGGGGGACUGCGUUCGCGCUUUCCCCUG